UCUAGGGCCCAAAUAUCCAAGUCCUUCUCCUUCUCGUCUGCUUUGUGGCCUAGAUCAAGCCACCUUUGCCACUGUGGUUUCUGCUCUGAUAAGUCAGUCUGAGGCCAGUGGAUAAGCGUGUCUGAAGAGUCUACAUUAUUUGAUUCUAUCUCUCCUCUGUUGCAGGUCCUGGAUUGAUCCUCUGAUUUUCUUAACCGCUCUCCAGCAUCCUCUUUAUGGGUCUCCCAUCUCAUCCAAAGUUGGAAAGGAUCCCAUCCAGGAUACCACAUUGCAUGCGGUCAUCAUGUCUCAUUAGGCUCCUUUGUACUGUGACAGCUUCUUAGACUUUUCUUAUUUCUGACGACCUUGAUGCUUUUAAGGAAUACUGCUCAGAUGUUUAUAGAAUCUCCCUCAUUUUGGGUUUGUCUGGUGAUGUUUUUCUAGUCUUGGGGUUAUGGAUUUGGGGGACGAAGGACCAUAGAGGUGAAGGGUCAUUCUUAGAACAUCAUAUCAAGGAUAUAUACUAUCAACAUGAUUCAUCACUGAGGAUGUUAAUCUUGUUCAUCUGGUCAUUUCUGUGCUGAUUUCCUCCACUGUGAAGUUACCUUUUUACACUUUUCCAUAUGAUUUGGGAGCAAGCCACCAGAUGUAGACCACACUCAAAGGGGGUGAAGAGUUAAACUCUUACCCCCUUGAGGAGAGACUAUCUACAAAAAUUAGUUGGAGUUGUUUUGUAUGGGCUAUGUGUCUUUUCUCUCUUAUUUACUUAUUCAGUCAUAUGUUUAUGUCAGUAUGGCAUUACAUAUUUUCAUUUUAUACCAUAUGUUAUAACCUAAUACUGCAUUAUUUAUUUUGUUGCUCUGAUUUUUCCAGCUUUGGCCAUUGGGAGGGGGAGGUCAGCUCCUGUUUCCCUUUGACAUGCUUCCAGCAUUUUGUUUUUGGACACUCCCUUACUUUCUGGCACUACAGAAUGCUCUAGGCUCAACUUGUGUAUACUCUGCCCCAGCAGUAGAAUUAACCAUUUAUUUACAUGCUGAUUCCUUCUAUUGGAAAAUGGUAUUAGAAACUAAGAUCUGAGGGCUAGCUUUGAUUAUUGCUACUGGGGUAUCUUUGCUUCUAGGACAGAGCUCAAGGCUAGAGCUGGGAAAUAUAUGUAUAUAUGAGCCCAUGUUUACACACAUAUCUAUAAUUAUUCCUGUAUCCAUCCAUCUGUAUAUUAAGCUUAACAUGAGCUCAUGUGAGGUCUCCAACUCGAAUCCAUACCACAAGUUUCAUUCUAGACUUUUCCCUUGCUUAUCUGCAAUUUUCCACUCCACAAGUAAGAAAACUGGAUCCUAUCAUCUGCUAUUAUUUAUUUGUUUGUUCAGUUCUAGCUUAUUCAUACAGUAGUUUCAGAAUUCUUAAUCUUUACUACCACAAAAAACAACUUUAUCAACAGGACAAUGUUUAUGUGAAGUUCCCUUUGUCUUUAUUCUUACAGUCUCUAAUCAAAAUGCUGUUUUCCAAAGUUACCUAAUUCUUUUUAACCAUUAUUUUUCAUUAUGAAAACUGUAGUUUUAUUGUUGAAUAUUUGGAAAAUAGAGUAAAAUUUAAGAAAUCUUCCAUUAUUCUGUAUUAACCAUGGCUAACUUUUGGGUUCUUCUUUCCUCCUUUUUCUUUAUGGAUAUGUGUGUAUAGACAUCAAUACAGUUAUCUAUAUAUAUUUAUCUCCCUACCUAUAGUUCUCCCCAUAAAAGUCUAUCUCUGUAUAUCUUUUUAAGCAUCAAAUGAGCAAUGUAGUUAAUAGUGACUAUACAGAAGAUUUAGAGCAGAAAAUAAUUCUAGUAUAUUUCAGUGCAGCUAAAAUAUUUCUAAUAAUUUCUGUCUGGUGAUAUAACUUCAUAUUAAAUAAAACUUACAUCCUUUAA